UACGUAGGGUGCGAGCGUUGUCCGGAAUUAUUGGGCGUAAAGGGCGGGUAGGCGGCCACCGCAAGUCAGUUGUGAAAUCUCUGGGCUUAACCCAGAAAGGUCAACUGAUACUGCGGGGCUAGAGUGCAGAAGGGGCAACUGGAAUUCUCGGUGUAGCGGUGAAAUGCGUAGAUAUCGAGAGGAACACCUGCGGCGAAGGCGGGUUGCUGGGCUGACACUGACGCUGAACUGCGAAAGCUAGGGGAGCGAACGGG
rnacentral:rRNA from 1 species